rnacentral:piRNA from 1 species
UUCUUGCUUCAAUGCACCUGAACCACUGA